rnacentral:rRNA from 1 species
UCUAGUUUUGAGAGAGCAAUCUUUCAACAACUUNCCGUUCCCAUCCCGAACACGGUAGUUAAGCUUCUCUGCGCCAAUGGUAGUUGGGGGCUUCCCCCUGCGAGAGUAGGUCGCUGCCGGGC